UAUACAAUGAUAAGGGGCACCUCAGGAGGAAGAUAUUUGGGGCUGGAGCUAAAAUGGUGUUUCUUACUUUUGUGAAUUUAAGGUAUCUGUUGGAUUCAGAUAAAUGUUGUGUAUGAAUAUUCAGAUGAAUGUUUGUUGUGUAUGUGGUUACAGAACAUAAAAAGGUUUGAUGUAAUAAGAGAUUUACAAACAUAAGUGGAAAGUGAACACAUGAAUAUGAAUGAAGUUUUGAGAGGGUUGAACAUGUAUGUGUGUGAGACACUAGUAUUAAAGAGGAGUACAGAGAAAGGAAAAAUAAAUAAAUAAAAUGGCUAGGAAAAAAAAAAAAAAGAAAGAAAAAGAGCAACAUUGUCAUGAAAGACCAUGAUGGAGAGAACUUCAAAAUAGAUGUGUCCCCAAAGAUCAGGUCCUGCACAGAGGCUGAGAUAAGAACACAUAUAGCUAUCCUGAAUUAAUAACAAAAAGGCUUUUGGUGACCCCCAAAUAAUAAUUUUAAUUAAAUGGUAAGAAAAGAGCCAUAUUAGAGAACUGAGGUGUUAGUGAAUGAGAAUAUUAGAUGUGGAAAAGUUUAUGAAAUCUAAUCCUUCCGAAGUUUCUCUCUGAAGGAAGGAAAAGAGUAAACUAGAAAUCUAGAAUCAGAAAACAUUCCGAGAGACAAAAAUAAUACGAGAAAGAAUUUGAGAAAUUCUGUUACAAUGUUGUAAAAUACUCACCAAAUGCCUCAUUUGGAAGAAAAUUUAGAGAUUCCCUGCAACCUUUUCCCACACAUAAUUAAGAUCCAAAGAGGAAAAGUUACUUAGUUUUUUAGACAAGUAAACUGAGGUCUAGAACCAAACUGAGGAACCGGACUUGGGUCUCCACAACAAUCGUGGUGUUUCUGGGCAAUCGAACAGUUGUUAAAGUUUUGCUUUAUUUUGUUUCAUUUUGUUUGUGUGUGUGCGUAUUUGUUUUGUUGUUGUUAAGAAACAAUUUGAUGUCCAUUACCAUUGGUCAGCAUAGUUCUAGGAAAUUACUGUUCUCAGCAAUUUAGAGAACAAAUCAGGAUCUGUGUAGCAUAUUAUCUGAAGUGAUGGUCCUGGGAAGGAGAAGGAAGCGGAUAUUCUAAACAUCUUUUUCAACUGAUUUUAAGGUACCUUCACUGCAAUGAUGUUGAUUUUGUUUUCUAGUUUCUGUUACGUUCCUGUGACUGUUCAGUUAUAUAUUUUUCUUUACUUUAAUCACUUGCCAUGACAAAUAUUUUGUCUUCUAAGGAUACUUCCACCAAUUAAUGACUGUAUUCAUCUAUUACUUUUUCUUCUUUAAAAGUUCUUCUCCAAGGAUGAGCUCUAAAAGCAUCACACAUUGGGUAGCAUAGAUUUUUCCUUUAAAUUCCUUUUUUUUUUUUAAAAUCAGUUCUGCUACACAUUUCUACCUAAAUAGGAAAAUGUAGUCACUGUUUAUGUGUGCUACAUCUUAAGACAUUUGAAAUUCCAUAAAAUGGCAAUACCUCUAUAAACCAGAUGCUCUGAGAACAGACGUGGGGUCUGAUUCCUUCAGCGCUGAUCAUCAGUCUCUAGCUCCCGUCCUGGAACUCAUGAAAUGUAACUGGAUGAAAUAAUGACCAAGUGUUCCCCCAAAGGUGGAAAUAUAAGCAUCAGAAUAUGGGACAUUUUAGCCAGUGCAUUUUGCAAUAAAUUUACAUGAUCUGUAUGUGGCUGUGGUGAAUUAUUUAUCACUAGUAUGAAUAUUGGUCUCAGUUUGCCCAGGACAGCCCCAGUUUUUUAUACCAAUUGUUCUUGUGUCUGGCCUGGUUUAGCACUAACUUUCAUUUUCAAAAAUAUCUGUUUUUAACAGUAAUUUAUGUACUCAUCAUAUUCAUUACCUGUUCUCUCCAGCUUAAUCAUUAACUAAAAUCUUUCUUCCUGUAUUUUCUUAUAUUUUGAAUAAUGUUAUGUAAAUUGAAAACAACUUGCAGCAGUAGAACUGGACAAAUUCAGACUAAAAUGUAUAUGAAAAGGUGAAAAGUGAAAAUUGGAAUUUUUGGAUUAGUAUAAAAAUAUACACUUUUGCUUUAUCUGAAUAGCUUAGAAAAAUAUUUUGAUUGUGUUUUAAGUGUUGUGGGAGUGAAUUUUUAUUUUCCAUAUUCUCUAAAUCAUAUAGAGUCAUUAGAAAAAACAUAAAUUAUAAAAAUGCAGACAGGAGGAAGUAUAUAGAAUUUGGAAUUUAGAAAAUCCUUCUGUGGGCAUUCAAAAUUUUGAAUAUGAAAUGGAGUGCAAAAGACAUGUGUGUUUUACACUCCAAAUAAAAUAAAGCUCCAGAAGAGUGCACAGAAGUUACUAUACUUGAGAAAAGUUACAUGACAUAUUAUAACAAUCCUCUCCUUGAUGACAAGAUGCAAAGGGGAUUACAGUGUAGUAAUUUAAGGUUUAAAUUCGAAAUGAGUAAAUUUCUGUGGCUUUACAUUUUUAAAAUAGUAAUUGGAUUAUAAAAUUUUUCAAUCCUAGUCAAAAAUGUAUCCAGGCCCAAGUGAGCUGGUAUGGGCUAUCUAAGUAGAUAUGGACCCCUACUGACACCCACUGCCUAGAAUCCACAGUUCAGUCGAGGAUUAAAGAGGCCAGCUAAAGUCAGACACCAUUAGGGUUUUAGGGGAGGUAACAAAAAUUGUUCUAUAGAAUCAAAGGAGUAAACAAUGGUUGUUCUUAUUUAUCAUGAAAAAAAUCCUUUCCUAUUUUCAUCGAGCCUUUAGAGAUGAAUGUCAAUGAGUAUAAUCAGUAUUCUAUAUCAUACCUACAAUGUUCUAGGUGCUGAUUAGACAUUUUAUUUCAGAUGACACCAGCAAAUAAUUAAACUACAAUUCUGCUGUUAUAGAUGAGGAAAUUCAAUCAGUGUUAAGGUUACUAGAAUCAGAUGGGUUUUUAAUAGCAGAUUUGGCGAUUCCAAUUAUUCCUGUCUUACGUAUGCUCUGAUGAAUAUUUUGUAUACAAUAUUGACAACUGGAACAAUUUCUCUGGAAUAAAUACUUAGCAGAAUUUCUGAGUGACUGGGUAUUCUUACUUUCAGUGUUCCUGGGAACUGAAGAAUAACUCUCCAAAAAUAAUUCUAUCAUUUUUGAAACUUGCCCAGCUGUGUAAGAAUACAUUUACCUCUUAUACUUCUUUCUCCACCUCCUAACACCUCCUAUUAUCUGACUGUUGUUCUAGCUUGAGAAAAUUAAAAGUGAAGUUGAGCAUAUUUUCAUUUGUUUUUUGGCCAUUCAGACACUUGUUUUUGUGAAUUUUCUGUCAAUAUCACUGAUACAGUUUUUAACUUGGAUGGUUUUUUGGAUGACUUACCCUUACUGAUUCAUAGUUAUUUAUAUAUUCUAAAUACUAUUACGCCAUAUGCAUUGCAAUUACCUAACCUGUACUUAUAGUUAACAAUGUAUUGUCAAAGUUAUUGUGUUUUGUUUUCUUGCUCAGGGCUUUAAAUUAUUUAUAGGUAUAACUUACUAUAAAGUUCACACUUCCCACAAUCAAGGUAUAGAGCAGCUGAAAAAAAAAAUCCCUCAUAAUCCUUUAAAGUCAAACCCUUCCUAUAGCCUUGGCUUCUUGGAAUCACUGACUAAUCUGUUUUUGGUCUCUACAGUUUUGUCAUUUCAAGCCUGUCAUAUCAAUGUAAAUGGGAUCAUAUUAUACAGUCUUUAAGAUUGAGCUUUUUUCACUUAGAAUAAUGUGUCUAAGAUACAUUUGUGUUGUUACGUCACGUAGUUCAUCAUUUGUUAUUUUUGUGAAGUAUUCUAUUGUAUGGAUGCAACAAAAUUUAUUUAUUUAACAGUUGAAGGAUAUUUGAGUUGCUUGAAUCCAAAUGGAACUGGAAUGCUUCCUACAGUUGUAUGGGUAACCAGAUGUCCACUGGGUCCAUCAUAUUUAUGACCAACAAUAGAAUAUGGAGUUUAUGAACUUUAUGCAUAACUUGGGCAGCUACAUAAAAUAAACCUAUGCCUUUUUUUUGCCAAUUUUCUUUAUUGGGCCUUAUGCUCUUACUGGACGUGAAACUGAACUUAUAUUAAGCAAUAAAGGGAAUAAUUCUAUGCCUGGGGAACAGAAUUUCAUAAAAUGAAUUGCUUUUUACCAAAUGCAUGGCUGAAGUUAAAAAAACAUAAUAAACAUUUACUAAAAUAUCAGAGUUUUUCUUGCAAAAAGAUUAAAGCUAUCACAAUAUUCAGCAGAAGCUGGAAGUCAUUUCGAGAGGAGAGAAUAUAUGCUUUGAGAAGGGAAAACAAAUUAUUUCCCUAUGAACAUAUUUCUAAAGUAAUUAUGUGAGAUGAUAGAUAAGCUGAGGCAACUUUUUAAUAAAUGUUAAUUUAUUAAUUUUAUAAUUAUACUUCUAUUUGAUUAGGGAAAAUCAAAGUUGUUCUAAAAGAUAACCCACAUUUCUAAUCUACAUCUAACCAGGCUUUUAGUUCUGUACUUAAAGGAAUCUUUAAUAACAGUUCAUUUACAAUCUUUUUAGAAUUCUUACACUUUGAAUUUGUUUAUUCAAUUUCUUCUAAAAGUGUGCAUUGUGGGGUUCAGAGAAAACAGGUCAUGAUAUUCUAUCAGAUAAGCUUUUGAAAUUAUGGUAAGUAUAAAGUGACAAGAAAAUUUAGUUUCUCUUUACCUGAUAAGAAUGAAAUAAAAACCAGCAAUUAUUUUAACAAGCAACCAUAAAUACCCUAUGCUUUUGAUCUUGAAAUACAAUUUUAAGAAUCUAUCCUUUAAUCUAAAAUAUCAUCUGUUGGGGAGACUGUGGUGAGGCAGUGUUUCAGAGUUGGGUG
rnacentral:lncRNA from 1 species